rnacentral:rRNA from 1 species
AUUGAACGCUGGCGGCAGGCCUAACACAUGCAAGUCGAGCGGAUGAAGGGAGCUUGCUCCUGGAUUCAGCGGCGGACGGGUGAGUAAUGCCUAGGAAUCUGCCUGGUAGUGGGGGAUAACGUCCGGACACGGGCGCUAAUACCGCAUACGUCCUGAGGGAGAAAGUGGGGGAUCUUCGGACCUCACGCUAUCAGAUGAGCCUAGGUCGGAUUAGCUAGUUGGUGGGGUAAAGGCCUACCAAGGCGACGAUCCGUAACUGGUCUGAGAGGAUGAUCAGUCACACUGGAACUGAGACACGGUCCAGACUCCUACGGGAGGCAGCAGUGGGGAAUAUUGGACAAUGGGCGAAAGCCUGAUCCAGCCAUGCCGCGUGUGUGAAGAAGGUCUCCGGAUUGUAAAGCACUUUAAGUUGGGAGGAAGGGCAGUAAGUUAAUACCUUGCUGUUUUGACGUUACCAACAGAAUAAGCACCGGCUAACUUCGUG